AUCUUCUUGCUGAAAAUCUGUAGAUUUAAGAGAGAAAAUCAAACACUUUCAUCUUUGUUCUUCAAGCUUCAAGUCUAGGUAAGGAGAAUGCUUAGUGGAUAACCAAAGGCCUAUUUUUGUGGUGUCUCGUGGCCUGGGAUGGAUUCUAGACCUAUAGUUUUAUAUAAGCCAUGUAUUACCUCGUUUGUUGGCAUAGGGCCAAGUUAUUGUUGUAACUUAACUUUCCUUUAUGACUUGUAUGACUUAUAUAGCAACGCUCUAGUUAAAUGUAAUCACCUAGUAUUUGCGAUGAUUUA